rnacentral:rRNA from 1 species
UACAGAGGGUGCUAGCGUUGUUCGGAAUCAUUGGGCGUAAAGGGCGUGUAGGCGGUUUGUUAAGUCAUGUGUGAAAUCCCUCGGCUCAACCGGGGAAGGACGCAUGAAACUGGCAAGCUAGAGUACCAAUGAGGGGGGUGGAAUUCCCGGUGUAGCGGUGAAAUGCGUAGAUAUCGGGAGGAACAUCUGUGGCGAAGGCGGCCCCCUGGUUGGAUACUGACGCUGAUACGCGAAAGCGUGGGGAGCAAACAGG